CGCCGCCGCAGUUCUGCAGCCUCUGAGAUAUCCUCAAUGGGAACCGCAAUGCUCUCCGAGCUCCUGACCGAGAUUCUGAUUCCGAUCGCGGCCGUGAUCGGGAUCGGAUUCUCGCUCAUCCAGUGGCUGAUCGUCUCGAAGGUGAAGGUCUCGCCGGAUCCGCUCGGGCCGGCGAACGGCAACAAGAACGGCGCCACCGACUACCUCAUCGAGGAGGAGGAGGGGCUCAACGACCACAACGUCGUCAUCAAGUGCGCCGAGAUCCAAAACGCCAUUUCUGAAGGAGCCACAUCAUUCCUUUUAACCGAAUAUAAGUACGUUGGAAUCUUCAUGAUUUUAUUUGCUGUCGUAGUAUUCCUCUUUCUGGGUUCUGUAAAGGGCUUCAGUACAAAGAGCCAGCCCUGUACCUACAGCAAGGACAAGACAUGCAAACCGGCAAUUAUGACUGCCGUUUUUAGUACUGUAGCCUUCUUACUUGGUGCAGUGACCUCUUUGGUUUCUGGUUUUCUGGG
rnacentral:misc_RNA from 1 species